CCCUUAGAUGUCCUGGGCCGCACGCGCGCUACACUGAUGCAUGCAACGAGUUUAUAACCUUGGCCUGAAAGGUCUGGGUAAUCUUUUGAACGUGCAUCGUGAUAGGGAUAGAUUAUUGCAAUUGUUAAUCUUGAACGAGGAAUUCCUGGUAAACGCGAGUCAUCAGCUCGCAUUGAUUACGUCCCUGCCCUUUGUACACACCGCCCGUCGCACCUACCGAUUGAAUGGUUCGGUGAAGAUCUCGGACUUCGAUAUUUAUUCUUUAUUGAGUUUAUAUUGUGGGAAGUUAUCUAAACCUCAUCAUUUAGAGGAAGGUGAAGUCGUAACA
rnacentral:rRNA from 1 species